GGCAGCUCCCGGAGAGGCCAAGGUGACCCUCAGACCCUAAAAACAGACUGGCCACGUCUCCCAGGUGGAUGCAGCAGUUUCUCCAUGAGCAUGACUUGGGGAUUUAGGGCACUGAGACUCUGCUACCCACCCCCCUUAAAAAUCCCUUGUGACUCCCAGUUGUCCUGAAGGGGAACCCCAAACUCCUCAGAGGCAGCACAUGCUGGUGGGUGAGAAUUGGGAGCCUGAGUCCAAGUUCCAGCCUGGCCACUAUCGGCUGUGUGACCACCAGUAACUCGCCUAACCUCUCUGGGCCUCAUGGGCUCGUUGGAGGAUGUGGUGAGCGAGUGACUGAGAUGAGCUUAGCACAGUGCCGGCCACACUGCCAUUGUUCAGUGCCGGGUGGCUGUGCUUACCACCACUGCUGGCUGUAACUGGCAGAGCAGGGCAUAGAAGGUCUUGGCCACUUGAACCCUAGUUGGCCUAUCCUUUCUCAUCGGCUCCAGCUCCACCCGCUGAUGCCGCCCCAACACCAAGCUGCUCUCUGUUCCCUCAACACUCCUUGGUCUUUCAUGCCACUGGGCCUUUGCUUCUGCUGUGCCCCCGUCAGGAAUGCCCUUUCCCCUCCAGGCUGCUUCCAGACUCUGCCGGUUGUCGAGUGCCCUGGAAACCCGCUCACCCUGCAGGAGUUACUCAGUGUCCUGUGUGCAUCCAGACCUUGGUGUGUGGUAUCGAGCCUGUCUCCCGUCUGAGUCUGUGACUUCUCAGGCGCACAUGUCGUGGCCUAUUCAUUUUCUUAUCCUCGUUGCCCAGCGCCGCGCCUGUCACACGGUGGGUGCUCCGUAGAGUGGGCUGGAGGAUAGAAGCAAUCAAUCCCCAACACCGUGGACGUGCUUGGUGGCAGGAGAUGCUUUGCUUCGAUGAAAUGCUCCGCCUCCAGGACAGGAGAAGACCUUGGUUUUGACCCUGAGGAAACAGCAAAACUUGGACCUUGAAGACAGGAGAUUGCCAUGACUAAUUUGGGGGCAGGCGGUGUGACUUUGAGUAUGUUACCUAACCUUGCUGAGCCACGUGGUACUGGUGAGGAUUCGGUGAGAUGACAACUGGUCACAGCAUGGCAGGCCUCCUGGCAUGUCCCUGACUCUCCUUCAACAGGAGCUUUCGAUAUAUUAGGGAGCAGGCUGUUGUGCCCCUUGGUGAGAUCACUUCGGGAUGUAGAGCCUUGUGAGUGCAGGCCUCCCAGAAGUCCAUCUUCCUCACCAACAAAUGACCCGGUUCCGGAGAAAGAUCUCGCCUUUGGUUGCAAGGGUCGGAUGGCAGUGGCAAUGAACCGGCUCGAUGUUUCACUGUCUUCACUGUCUGCCUCCCUCCCUGGACUGUGAGUCCUCCAAGGGCUGUUAGUGUGUUUGUGCACUCACAGUUGAACCCCAGAACCCAGGCAGGCCUGGCCCGUGGUGGCUGCCGACCUUUGGGAAUUUAAUUCUCGACCUUCUUAGGUGUGUUCCGCCUCCCGCUCAGCAGGCUAUAUCCAGCCCCUGGGCCUUUGCUCACAUGGGUUCCCUCUGCCCAGACACCAGCGAGGUGGAUGCUGCCUGGGCAGGUGCUGGCACAUAGAUGGUGGCAUGGUAGAUAGCGAAAGGACAAGGGCCCUGGGACUGGCCGUGCCUGGGAUCUGCUGCAGGCAGCUGUGGGAUCUGGGACAAGUGGCUUCAUGUCUCUGUAGCCGCCCUUCUUCUGGAAAGUGGAGAACAAUACGUUGAGACCAUCUUCCCACAUCUAGGUCGUCAUUUCUCAGGAGGACCUGGAAG